UUCACACGCUCAUCAAUCUCAAAUCUCACAAACUCAAAAUCGUUUUUUCUCGAUCAAACUCAAAAUUCACACUUCAUCUAUCUCAAAUCUCACAAACUCCAUUGAUCUCAAACCUCACAAACCUCAUCAAUCUCACCUCAACAAUCUUCUCAAACAAGCUCUGAAUCGAUUCCCUACUGUAUCGAUUUUCAAAUCGAUUUUGUUCUUCAUAUAUUUUGUUCAAAUCGAUUUAGAGAUCUUCAAAUCGAUUUUGCUCUUAAUCGUUCUCAAGCUCACAAACUACAUCAAUCAUCAAAUCUCACAAACUGUAUCGAUCUCAAUCGUCGCCUUCAUCGACCGCCGAUCUUCGAACUCGCUCUGGAUCAUUUUCAAUCGUUGUUGCUAAUGUUGUUCUGUGUCUGUCAUAGUCUAUGAGGAUCACGGCAAACCAGCUUCGUUAGAUUUAGCACUCAACCACCAAUAUUGCACAGAUACCUCACUUGCUGCCCUGUUAAUUGAGGCAACAAGUCAUCUGAUACAGAUAAAUGGUCAUGCCUGGCUCCCUGCAUGCCAGCUGAAAAAGUGUCAGAAUCCAACCAUGUUUGGUUCAAGGAUCCCAUUGUUGAAUUAGGUAACUCUGGCAUGGCAAUGAAAGGGGAAGCUGGUGGUGGAGGCGGUAAUUGAGGCACGGUAAUUGGCGGAGAAGAAUAUGGAAUUUGUUGGGGGGAAGAAUACUGAGCAUGAUCUAGUGCAGUCAUGUUGCAAGCUUCAACCAGCCAAGGAUUGAAUAUGUUUGUAUUUUGCAAGAUUUUAGAUCCAUCCUAGUUAACCUAUGAUAAAGAGAUAAAAAAUGGUAAGAAUCAAUAGCAAUCAUUUGAAAUAUUUGAUAGCUUAGUGAAUAUUUGUAUUUACACAUCAAAAGUUUCUUAUCAAUUGAUAACAUGAGUCAAAAUCAA